GAUGAACGCUGGCGGCGUGCCUAAUACAUGCAAGUAGAACGCUGAAGGAAGGAGCUUGCUCUUUCCGGGUGAGUUGCGAACGGGUGAGUAACGCGUAGGUAACCUGCCUGGUAGCGGGGGAUAACUAUGGGAAGCGAUAGCUAAUACCGCAUAACAGUAGAUGUUGCAUGAUACCUACUUAAAAGGUGCAAUUGCACCACGACCAGAUGGACCUGCGUUGUAUUAGCUAGGUGGUGAGGUAACGGCUCACCAAGGCGACGAUACAUAGCCGACCCGGGAGGGUGGUCCGCCACACCUGGACCGAGACACCGCCCAGACUCCUUCGGGAGGCAGCCGUAGGGGAUCUUCGGCCAUGGGCGGAAGUCUUACCGCGCCACGCCGCGGGAGUGAAGGAGGUUUUCGGAGCGUAAAGCUCUGUUGUUAGAGAAGAACGAGUGUGAGGGUGGAAAGUUCACGUUGUGACGGUACCUUACCAGAAAGCGCCGGCUAACUACGUG
rnacentral:rRNA from 1 species